UACCAGCUCUCCGAGUGGUAGGGAUGAUUAUUUGGCCUAAAGCGUCCGUAGCCGGCCGGGUAAGUUUCCCGUUAAAUCCAAUGUCUCAAGCAUUGGACUGCGGGAAAUACUGCCUGGCUAGAGAGUGGGAGAGGUGUACGGUAUUCUGGGGGUAGGGGCGAAAUCCUUUGAUCCCCGGAGGACCACCAGUGGCGAAGGCUGUACACUAGAACACGUCUGACGGUCAGGGACGAAAGCUGGGGUAGCGAACCGGAUUAGAUACCCGGGUAGUCCCAGCUGUAAACGAUGCAUGCUAGGUGUUGGGUUGGCCACGAGCCACCCCAGUGCCGCAGGGAAGCCGUUAAGCAUGCCGCCUGGGAAGUACGAUCGCAAGAUUGAAACUUAAAGGAAUUGGCGGGGGAGCACCACCAGGCGUGAAGCCUGCGGUUU
rnacentral:rRNA from 1 species